rnacentral:rRNA from 1 species
AGAACGAACGCUGGCGGCGUGGAUAAGACAUGCAAGUCGAACGAGGUAGUUUGGUAGCAAUAUCAAACUGCCUAGUGGCAAACGGGUGCGUAACACGUAGGUUACAUUCCGGAAAGUGUGGGAUAGCCCAGGGAAACUUGGAUUAAUACCGCAUGUGAUCGCAAGAUCAAAGGCGAAAGCCGCUUUCUGAUUGGCCUGCGCCCUAUCAGCUAGUUGGUGAGGUAAUGGCUCACCAAGGCAACGACGGGUAGCUGGUCUGAGAGGACGACCAGCCACACUGGAACUGAGACACGGUCCAGACACCUACGGGUGGCAGCAGUCGAGAAUCUUUCACAAU